rnacentral:tRNA from 2 species
GGAGAGAUGGCCGAGUGGUCGAAGGUGCACGACUGGAAAUCGUGUGUAGGGUAACCCCCUACCGUGGGUUCGAAUCCCACUCUCUCCGCCA